CUUUCUGUUCAUUUUCAUGCACCGGAACCGGGCUCCGAAUGGCAUAUUGCAGUUGGUUUGAACAACUUUGAAGUGCAACCGUGGGAUACAACUUCAAAUUGACAGUCGAUAACUUUGAGAGGUGGACAGACAAAGAGUUGGAUCUUUGGCAUGGAAUAACCACAUACUCACAACUAUUGGUUUGUUUGUUGGUGCAUUGAGGUGUGCCCAGAGCAGAGGAAUUGUAAUGUGAGUUUGUAGCAUAUGUAUAUUUCUUUUUCCUUCCCACUCUUCUUCCUCGGGUCAUGAGCUAAGUGAGAGACUUUCACAUCCACACACACUUUAUAAAAGCUGCUUCUCCCAACGUAUAUAUAGGGCCCACAUUUUAACCUAA